rnacentral:rRNA from 1 species
UACAGAGGGUGCAAGCGUUGUUCGGAAUUACUGGGCGUAAAGCGCGUGUAGGCGGCUUGGCAAGUCGGAAGUGAAAGCCCUCGGCUCAACCGGGGAACUGCUUUCGAUACUGCCAGGCUUGAGUGCGGGAGGGGAGAGCGGAAUUCCCGGUGUAGCGGUGAAAUGCGUAGAUAUCGGGAAGAACACCGGUGGCGAAGGCGGCUCUCUGGACCGCGACUGACGCUGAGACGCGAAAGCGUGGGGAGCAAACAGG